AGUGAACGCUGGCGGUAGGCCUAACACAUGCAAGUCGAACGGCAGCACAGUAAGAGCUUGCUCUUACGGGUGGCGAGUGGCGGACGAGUGAGGAAUACAUCGGAAUCUACAUUUUCGUGGGGGAUAACGUAGGGAAACUUACGCUCAUACCGCAUACGACCUACGGGUGAAAGCAGGGGAUCUUCUGACCUUGCGCGAGUGAAUGAGCCGAUGUCGGAUUAGCUAGUUGGCGGGGUACAGGCCCACCAAGGCGACGAUCCGUAGCUGGUCUGAGAGGAUGAUCAGCCACACUGGAACUGAGAGACGGUCCAGACUCCUAAGGGAGGCAGCAGUGGGGAAUAUUGGACAAUGGGCGCAAGCCUGAUCCAGCCAUACCGCGUGGGUGAAGAAGGCCUUCGGGUUGUAAAGCCCUUUUGUUGGGAAAGAAAAGCAGCAGGUUAAUACCGCGCUGUUCUGACGGUACCCAAAGAAUAAGCACCGGCUAACUUCGUG
rnacentral:rRNA from 1 species